UACGUAGGGUGCGAGCGUUAAUCGGAAUUACUGGGCGUAAAGCGUGCGCAGGCGGUCUUUUAAGACAGGUGUGAAAGCCCCGAGCUUAACUUGGGAAUUGCGCUUGUGACUGGAAGGCUCGGAGUGCGGAAGAGGGAGCUGGAAUUCCUGGUGUAGCAGUGAAAUGCGUAGAGAUCAGGAGGAACACCGAUGGCGAAGGCAGGCUCCUGGGCCAGCACUGACGCUCGUGCACGAAAGCGUGGGGAGCAAACAGG
rnacentral:rRNA from 1 species